GGGAUGUGGCUCAGUGGUAGAACAUCUGCUUGGCAUGCAGAAGGUCUCGGGUUUGAUUCCUGGCAUCUCCA
rnacentral:tRNA from 1 species